rnacentral:ncRNA from 1 species
CUUAUGUCAGAAAGCGACGGUUCCUGAAGCCGAAGGGCAAAGGGAUUAAUAGGGAACAUGGUGCGGGUGAUUUCUAUCGCCCAAUGCCGUGGCUGCCCCCGCAACUGUAAGCGGAUUGCCGCUCAUCCUCGUGACGCCUGAAAAGCGUCAUGCCACUGCACCCUUCAAGGUGCGGGAAGGCAGAUGAACGGCGCAUAUUCGUGAGCCAGGAGACCUGCCGUCAUAAUAUUGACCAUC